rnacentral:rRNA from 1 species
UACGUAGGGGGCGAGCGUUGUCCGGAUUCAUUGGGCGUAAAGCGCUUUAAGGCGGUUCGCUAAGUCGGGUGUGAAACCUCCAGGCUCAACCUGGAGACGCCACUCGAUACUGGCGUGACUAGAGUUCGGUAGGGGACCACGGAAUUCCUGGUGUAGCGGUGGAAAUGCGCAGAUAUCAGGAGGAACACCAGUGGCGAAGGCGGUGGUCUGGGCCGAUACUGACGCUGUAGAGCGAAAAGCGUGGGGGAGCGAACAGG